rnacentral:rRNA from 1 species
CUGUUCUAAGCGUACACCUUCUCUUAGAAGGUGUCUCUUUGUUAUGUGAAAUCACUUGCUGAUAGAGCAGGACAGAGUUGAAAAUACUAGGUGGCUGCGACUGUUUAUUAAAAACACAGCGCUCUGCGAACACGUGAGUGGACGUAUAGGGUGUGACUCCUGCCCGGUGCUUGAAGGUUAAUUGAUGAGGUUAGCGCUUGCGCGAAGCUUUUGAUCGAAGCCCAAGUAAACGGCGGCCGUAACUAUAACGGUCCUAAGGUAGCGAAAUUCCUUGUCGGGUAAGUUCCGACCUGCACGAAUGGAGUAACGACGGCCACACUGUCUCCACCCGAGACUCAGUGAAAUUGAAAUUGCUGUUAAGAUGCAGUAUACCCGCGGCCAGACGGAAAGACCCCGUGCACCUUUACUACAGCUUUGCAUUGAACUCUGAUCCUACUUGUGUAGGAUAGGUGGGAGGCUUUGAAGCUUUAACGCUAGUUAGAGUGGAGCCACCCUUGAAAUACCACCCUGGUAUGGUUGGGGUUCUAACCUUGGUCCGUAAUCCGGAUCGGGAACAAUGCAUGGUGGGUAGUUUGACUGGGGCGGUCUCCUCCUAAAGAGUAACGGAGGAGCGCAAAGGUAUCCUCAGCACGGUCGGACAUCGUGCAAUGAGCGCAAAGGUAAAAGGAUGCUUGACUGCGAGACUGACACGUCGAGCAGGUAGGAAACUAGGUCUUAGUGAUCCGGUGGUUCUGAGUGGAAGGACCAUCGCUCAACGGAUAAAAGGUACGCCGGGGAUAACAGGUUAAUACCCUCCAAGAGUUCACAUCGACGAGGGUGUUUGACACCUCGAUGUCGGCUCAUCACAUCCUGGGGCUGAAGCAGGUCCCAAGGGUAUGGCUGUUCGCCAUUUAAAGUGGUACGCGAGCUGGGUUUAGAACGUCGUGAGACAGUUCGGUCCCUAUCUACCGUGGGCGUUGGAGACUUGAGGGAAGCUGUUCUUAGUACGAGAGGACCGGAAUGGACACACCUCUGGUGUUUCGGUUGUCACGCCAGUGGCAUUGCCGAGUAGCUAUGUUUGGAAAGGAUAACCGCUGAAAGCAUCUAAGCGGGAAACCCCUCCCAAGAUUAGGUCUCCCUGAUUAUUUAAUAAUCCUAAAGAUCCCUCGAAGACUACGAGGUUGAUAGGCUAGGUGUGGAAGUACAGCAAUGUAUGAAGCUAACUAGUACUAAUUGAUCGUGAGGCUUGACCAU